GAUCAUGGUUCAGGAUGAACGCUAGCUACAGGCUUAACACAUGCAAGUCGAGGGGCAGCAUGAACUUAGCUUGCUAAGUUUGAUGGCGACCGGCGCACGGGUGAGUAACACGUAUCCAACCUGCCGAUGACUCGGGGAUAGCCUUUCGAAAGAAAGAUUAAUACCCGAUGGCAUAGUUCUUCCGCAUGGUAGAACUAUUAAAGGAUUUCGGUCAUCGAUGGGGAUGCAUUCCAUUAGG
rnacentral:rRNA from 1 species